rnacentral:lncRNA from 1 species
UAAAAUUUUAAAUUUCCAACCAGAUGUUUGCUAGGUUGAGUGUCUCUGUUUAAACAGCCUCCAAAAAUUAGAGAAAUAUGAUUCUUAUUAUUUGUAUUAUCUAUUUAUAUCUUCUGUCCCUAAUUAUUUACCAAAAAAUACUAGAAAAUUUUUACUGGAAAAAAAAAAACACUUUACUUGAGUUUCUAUAAAUCUCACACAUUUCACAUUUAUCAUUUUUGAUAUAGAAGAGUUGUACCUACCAUGAUUCAAGCCUUCUUCCUAUUGGGAGGAUGUUUACUUUGUCUGAGUCUUGGUGGGAGAAACUGAUGCAAAGACACACAUUUGGAAAUUUCCCCCGCCCAGCAAGAGGACGAUGAAGGCAGUAAAGGGCCAAGCAGGGACUAGCUAGCUGUUGUUUUCUGCUGGCAACUUCCCCUCACUCUCACCUCUUCUCUAAGCUUGUUUCUGCAGACUGCCUAAAGAUUCAAUGAUCUACCCAAUGCAUUCUUUUAUUAUUUUUAAUUCAGUGAGGCAGAUUUGGGUUUUGUCUUUUUUGCAACCAAGACCCUUAACUGAUACAGGUGACACAUUAUUCGCAAUACGAAUUUAAUUCUUUCAGUUCGUUCA